rnacentral:rRNA from 1 species
UACGUAGGGCGCAAGCGUUGUCCGGAAUUAUUGGGCGUAAAGAGCUCGUAGGUGGCUUGUCGCGUCUGCCGUGAAAGCCCGUGGCUUAACUACGGGUCUGCGGUGGAUAUGGGCAGGCUAGAGGCUGGUAGGGGCAAGCGGAAUUCCUGGUGUAGCGGUGAAAUGCGCAGAUAUCAGGAGGAACACCGGUGGCGAAGGCGGCGACCUGGGUCGAUACUGACGCUGAGGUGCGAAAGCGUGGGGAGCAAACAGG